rnacentral:lncRNA from 1 species
GCCCCACCCCCUAAGAUGUGACUUUGGCGGGGAAGAGGAUGGACGUAGACCCUCAGCCCCCUAUCAAUUUACCUUGCCUGGAUUAUCAAUGCAGAUGUUAAAAUAAUUGAAGGUGUGGUAGGAGAUACAACCCCUAAUAGCUUUUCCAAUAUGGAGAUUACCUAGGCAGAGAAUGCCAGAGUACCUGAAGAAUAGGCAUACAAACACAUUCAAGACACUGUGUGGAGUCCUGAGGGCAAAAAGAAAAGAGUUCUAUAUGAAGGUGGAAUGAAAAGAUUGCACUACCUUGCGAGAAGUGUGUGAAUAUAAGAAGCUAUUUUGAACUGAGGAGUCUAAAGAAAAGAUUUUGGAACAAAUUGGAUGAAAUCAACAGGACCUAAUUGUGAAGAUUGGAUGAUAUUUUUCCAGGAACAUCUGGUGCCACCAUAUUGUCCAGAACCUCAUGAAGUGCACCUGCCCAGAAGAAACAUCUGGCUCCAUCUCAGCAAGGGAACAGAGCCAGAAUGUGUCUAUACAUGAACUGGAAUUUAUGGAAGCCAUGAAAGCUAAUCAUAUGCUAUGGUUCAAUGGACCUGGAGUUAGAAGCUUGUAUUCCUUCCAUAGCUGGGUAAGAGAUGGGCCUUUCCAGGGCAGGAUUCAUGAAAGAUGAAAGGUAAAUAAUUAUAGUUGUUUUUUUUGUUUGUUUGUUUGUUUUUUUUUCAGGGAAAAAGGCUGCUAGAAUGGACCAUAUCAAAUUACAUUACUGGUAGUGAGAUUUAUGCCUAUAAGACACAAAAACGAUGAAGGUUUUCAGUGAGGUAUUCAGUGAGGUAUAUGAUAGAUAGCAUGCAAAUGAUGAGUUUCACAGUCAAUAACCUAUAAAGUCCAAAUGCAACUUCUGAAUUAAAAAUUGACACAAAUUUCUCAAAAAUGCAGACAUUGUUCUGUUGUGUUGACAUCCUCCCAACAGCCAUAUCUGUUCUCACAAGUCAUAUCUGAGAAGAGGAAAUAACAUUUUCAGUUUUACAUGGCUUGACAUCUUCAGAAAACUUGACAGGGGAAGAUCUGGUAAUUCUAUAAUUUACAGCAUUAGAUAAUUAAAGCACUAAAGAGGAGGGAAAAAAAAACAACAACAAAAUGAUGAUGAACAGUGACUUUCAGACAUUUGUGAUGACACAUGUACCUCUUACGUGAAAUUCCUUGAGUUUUCAUAAAAGUUAUGUGCCUUGAAAAGCCUGAUUUUAUUACAGAUCAUUAGCAUUACAUCUGAACUGCCUUUAGGAGAGCUCUUAACUCCAAUGAUCUUCAACCAGCUACUUGACAACACACCCUUACCUGUUGACUUUUGAGGUGCUUUGGCUAAUUAUGGUUACCUAAUUUGUGUGUGCUUUUGUUGCUAUUGGAAACUACCAACAUCCUGACAUGUAAGCCCAAAGUCAAUGGUAAUGCUAUUGAUAAUAUAUUAAAUUCAAUUUUGUCCUUAAUUUUUCUUGGUUUACCUGUUUAUAUGAUCACAUGACAAAAAUUUUGUUGCAUAUUUUAAAAGAGUGCUAAAUGGAAUGAGUGUAUCUUAACCAUUCAGCAGGUGAAGAGUAUGUGUCUAAUAUGGACAGCAGAGUCCAUGUUUGUAUUUUAUAUGACAAGAAGCAGUAACUUGGUAAUUAAGUAAAUAUUGUAAUAAGUAUGUCUCUGACAUCCACUUGAAGCUUAUAACUCCCCAGGGAACAGAUGCUUAAUUUGUAGCCAUGAUAAUAACAACCUAAUGAACCUCUCAUCUUACUGGAUAGCUUAAUAAACUUCAAAGAAAACAAAACA